AUUUCGCGGGGAAGGCGGGAGCGGGCCCCGGGCGGGCCGUACUCGGGGGCCGGGGGCGGUGUCCGGCCGGAGCGGGGGCGGCUCCGCGGGGCCCCGGGCCGGGAUCGCUGCCGGGGCAGCCCCGGCCCUGGAAACCCGGGAGCGCAGCGAGGGGUGAGCCGUGUUGCACAGCAAUUGUUUCCUUUCGUUUUCCGUUUCCCGGUCAGGAGUGGAAACCAGUGUAUUUUUAUUCCUGCAAAUAGUCCCAUGAGGUUAGAGUUCAGAUACGUUAGAAAGGGAAACCUUUGGUGGGGAGCACAGUUGCUGUGACUGUAUUACCAGUGAAGACUCCUUUCAGACUUCAAAAGUGACUUGCUUGGAGAUCUAAGGAGUGAGACUGGUACAGAUAGGGAAGGUGUUUGCAGACUUCCCCCCCCUGCCCUUUCCUGAACUUUUAACGUUCAAAGUAGUUGUGCAUAUUUAACCUCUUCAAGGGAAAAAAAAAAAAUGCUUGAAAAGGCUUGUCUACCAUUUUAAUAUGGAGAUAGACACCUAUCUGGAUGGACUUAAUACAGAAGGUUAGUAUGUGUUUUUGGCGCUUGAUCCUAAAGUUCAAGUCCAACUAUACAACGGAUAUUUCUGUACAUGCAGCAAAAAGUCCCUUUAGGGCUGGGAAAAUAUAUAUGGUAGGCUCCUGUACAUAUUUUGCUUAUUUUGUCUACUGUGUUAAGCAAUAAAAUAUAAAAGGAAGAUUGAAACGUGAUUAGCAGGGUAUCCUUGUUUCUGACUACUUUGGAAGAUUUCUUCAUUGAGCACCAUCUGGACUUGAGGCAGUGUCUGUGUCAAGUCCCUUUGUGCUGCAGUGGAACAUAACUAAAGGCCUGAUCCCAGAAUAUGUAGUAACAGGCAAGGGAUGGGGUUAAUAGUACUUGAUCUCUAACUUGUCUUAUCUAUCAGCAGCUAACAUGAAAACUUUGAUGUCCUUAAUUCAUGUCUUACAGAACAUAACACUUAAACCCUUUUGAUGAGCUUUAGUGCUCAAGUUGUUGAAUCAAACUUGUCUGUACAAUUAAUUCUUAUCCUGGAAAGAUACCAAAACACUAUAGUUCUUAGACUGCAACUUUUAAGAACAUUUAAGAACUGUGGUCUUAAAACAAACAUGCUAGAAGGAAGUUGUUACUUGAUGUUGUUUUGUCGUCAUAGAAAAGGUGGCUGACCAUCCUUUUGAAAGUAGUGACUACUGUUGAUGCAAUAGACUGAAAAAUGUUUGCAUGGUUCACUCUUUACACUGGUAGGGUGUCACAAGUGCUUUCUGUUUCCUCAUGAUGUUCUUUUUUCUGUCAUAUAUCUAAGCCUCUUGGUACACUUCUGGUAUUUCUUUUUUGCAGUCUGUUGGUUGACUAGGAGUUAGUGGUAUAAAAAUCAUACUUCUUAUUUUUGCAUUUGUCAUCUAUUUCCAAAUGAUCCUUCUCUUAUCUCUUAUGUUCUUCACAGUGUUGCUCUUCCACCAUUAAUUAAACCUUUUGCAGGCAGACAGCCUUUCAUAAUACUAUGUUACUGCUAUUUUCACACACAGAAAGGAAGAAAUAAGGUGCCUUGGAUAGUCUGAUUUCAUGUAAUAAGGAGGAUGACAGCUAUCAUACUGUCCAGUGAAGAUAAUGGAAGUGUUGAACUGAUCAGAUUUUUUUCAUGUUUUUC